rnacentral:piRNA from 1 species
UCGUUUUACAUGUAAAUUUAC